UGCAUAUCCAAAAAGCGGAGGAAAAGAAACCAACAGGGAUUGCCUUAGUAGCGGCGAGUGAAGCGGCAAUAGCUCAAAUUUGAAAUCUGGCGCCUUCGGUGUCCGAGUUGUAAUUUGAAGAAGGUAUCUUUGGUUUUGGCUCUUGUCUAUGUUUCUUGGAACAGGACGUCAUAGAGGGUGAGAAUCCCGUCUGAUGAGAUGCCCAAUUCCAUGUAAAGUUCCUUCGACGAGUCGAGUUGUUUGGGAAUGCAGCUCUAAGUGGGUGGUAAAUUCCAUCUAAAGCUAAAUAUUGGCGAGAGACCGAUAGCGAACAAGUACUGUGAAGGAAAGAUGAAAAGAACUUUGAAAAGAGAGUGAAAAAGUACGUGAAAUUGUUGAAAGGGAAGGGUUUAAGGUCAGACUUGGUUUACCAGGCCAGCAUCGGUUUAGAUGGCAGGAUAAUGGCGUAGGAAUGUGGCUUUGCUUCGGUAAAGUGUUAUAGCCUGCGUUGAUACUGCCUAUUUAGACCGAGGACUGCGUCUUUGACAAGGAUGCUGGCAUAAUGGCCUUAAGCCACCCGUCUUGAACCACGGACCA
rnacentral:rRNA from 1 species